UGCGCAGGCGGGCUUGUAAGUCAGUGGUGAAAUCUUGCCGCUUAACGGUAAAAUUGCCAUUGAUACUGCAAGUCUUGAAUAUGGUUGAGGUAGGCGGAAUGUGUCGUGUAGCGGUGAAAUGCAUAGAUAUGACACAGAACACCAAUUGCGAAGGCAGCUUACUAAGCCAUUAUUGACGCUGAGGCACGAAAGCGUGGGGAGCGAACAGGAUUAGAUACCCUGGUAGUCC
rnacentral:rRNA from 1 species